rnacentral:ncRNA from 1 species
AGGCUUGGUCCUGACUUUGUUAUCAACUUUAGCUAGACUUACACAUGCAAGCAUCCGCACUCCAGUGAGAAUGCCCUAUGGUCCUCUGUUUGAGGGCUGGGAGCUGGUAUCAGGCACAAGAACUUAGCCCACGACGCCUUGUUUAGCCACACCCUCAAGGGAAUUCAGCAGUGAUAAACAUUAAGCCAUAAGUGAAAACUUGACUUAGUUAAAGCUAAGAGGGCCGGUAAAUCUCGUGCCAGCCACCGCGGUUAUACGAAAGACCCAAGUUGAUAGUCACCGGCGUAAAGAGUGGUUAAGAUAAAUCCACAAACUAAAGCCGAACAUCUUCAAAGCUGUUAUACGCACACGAAGAAAGGAAAUCCAACCACGAAAGUGGCUUUAUAUCAUCUGACCCCACGAAAGCUAUGAUACAAACUGGGAUUAGAUACCCCACUAUGCUUAGCCGUAAACAUUGAUAGUACAGUACAUCUACUAUCCGCCCGGGUACUACGAGCAUAAGCUUAAAACCCAAAGGACUUGGCGGUGCUUUAGAUCCACCUAGAGGAGCCUGUUCUAGAACCGAUAAUCCCCGUUAAACCUCACCUUUUCUUGUUUUCCCCGCCUAUAUACCGCCGUCGUCAGCUUACCCUGUGAAGGGUCAAUAGUAAGCAAAAUUGGCAUAGCCCAAAACGCCAGGUCGAGGUGUAGCGUAUGAAAAGGGAAGAAAUGGGCUACAUUCAAUAUAACAAUGCAUACGGAUGGUGGCCUGAAAUACCCACCUGAAGGAGGAUUUAGCAGUAAGCAGGAAAUAGAGAGUCCCGCUGAAAUUGGCCCUGAAGCGCGUACACACCGCCCGUCACUCUCCCCGAAACUAUGUAUCUUAAUACUUAAUACCUUAAAACUCCAAAGGGGAGGCAAGUCGUAACAUGGUAAGUGUACCGGAAGGUGCACUUGGAAAAAUCAGAGCAUAGCUAAAUAACGAAUAGCACCUCCCUUACACCGAGAAGAUACCCGUGCAACCCGGGUUGCCCUGACACCCAAUAGCUAGCCCACCCCCAUAAAAUCAACAAAUCAACAUUUAUAACCCCUCAUCCCCGAAACCUAAAAUUAACAAACCAUUUUUCCACCUCAGUAUAGGCGAUAGAAAA